rnacentral:tRNA from 1 species
AAGAAAUUAGUUAAUGCAGUAUAACACAAGUUUGCUAAACUUGAGGUGCCCUCCCUAGGUAUUUUUUA